ensembl:lncRNA
UUAAAGAGCAGUGAAAUUAUUCUUGAUCCUGGGAUUGUGUUUUAUGUCCUAAUGAUGGCAUUUUUGUUUGUCUAUGUAUUUAUGUUUAACCUUUUAACAACAUUUUGGGUUUUCGGUGAUGUUUAGUACCUAUUCCUUUAUAAAUGUAGCUUUUGCUUACAAGGCUUUUGUUGCUUUGCGGUCAGUCCAAGGUCCACGUCCUCUAACAUAAUUUGAUUGAGGGAGAUGAAGUGAAAUGUAAAUUGUCUGCAGUAGGUCACAGCAUAGCAAGCAGGGUGGUGUGGAGGCAGCUAGGCUGGCAUGGUACCCACCCACCCUAGCUGACACCUCUGCCCUCCCUCACCCUCUGUCUCAAUGUCAGGGAAACAGCUGACAGGGAAUCUGAAAACCCAUGUAUGGAAAUGUACACAGAUUUCCUGCUGGCCUCCACACUUUUCAUGUUGUCAUCUCAUAUGCGCUGCUAGCUAGACAGGCCAAUGGUAGGACAGCCCUGUCCCAUACGCCCUUCUGACCCCAGGACAUGCCUCACUCUGCCGUGUUUCAUCCUCCUGGUUUACAUGUGCCAGUCCAUCGUCUGUGCUGUGCUGUGCAUUGUGACAUUGUUUUUCUGUUACAUGAAUAAGGAAAGGCUAUCGGAAUAGAGAGUUAGAGCAUGUAUAUGUAAACUGACUUGUAAGUGUACUUGUAAAUACUUAUUCUUUACACAGAAAUGUGUUGCUUUAAAGUGAGAAAUGUUCUGAUUGUGAUCACUAAGAUCCAUGCAAUGAGCUUAGAGGGUGCAUAGCCUUUGGCUGUUUGGGAAGUAUAUUCUAACAUGACUGAUCAAUUUUUUAGGACUGAUUUACGGUAUGCCUGUGUUCAAUUCGUUUACUUAAGGCUAGUGGAGAGCUAUGAACUGAGAAAUUAUCGAUAUAUAAUUUAUUUAUUCCUUAAUUUACAUAUGUUAAUGGAUGGUUGUUCUGGAAACAUGCUGUUUCAGUGUUGGGAGUGAAGUGAAAGAGCUUGUUGGGUGAGUGUUGUGUUGGCUAGGCUAGUCUUUUGGGCAUUGUGGGGUGAAUGUGGAGUGAGACUGCUUGGGGCAUUGUGGGGUGAGACUGCUUGGGGCAGUGUGGGGUGAGACUGCUUGGGGCAGUGUGGGGUGAGACUGCUUGGGGCAGUGUGGGGUGAGACUGGUUGGGGCAGUGUGUGGGUGAGACUGGUUGGGGCAGUGUGUGGGUGAGACUGGAAUGCACAAUGUGGGGUAAGACUGGUUUGGGCAGUGUGGGGUGAGACUAGUCUGGUGCUUUAGAGUGGUUGGGGGAGUAAGACCCUGGUUGGGGCAGUGUGGGGUAAGACUGGUCUGGCAGUGAGGGGUGAAACAGUUCAGCCCAUUUGUGGUGAAACUGGUUUGGCUGUGUGCGGUGGUAUUAGUCUGGGCAGAGUGGUGGUGAGACAGGUCUGGCAGUGUUAGGUGGUAGUAGUCUGGGCAGAGUGGUGGUGAGACAGGUCUGGCAGUAUUAGGUGGUAGUAGUCUGGGCAGAGUGGUGGUGAGACAGGUCUGGCAGUAUUAGGUGGUAGUAGUCUGGGCAGAGUGGUGGUGAGACAGGUCUGGCAGUAUUAGAUGGUAGUAGUCUGGGCAGAGUGGUGGUGAGACAGGUCUGCCGGUAUUAGGUGGUAGUAGUCUGGGCAGAGUGGUGGUGAGACAGGUCUGGCGGUAUUAGGUGGUAGUAGUCUGGGCAGAGUGGUGGUGAGACAGGUCUGGCAGUAUUAGGUGGUAGUAGUCUGGGCAGAGUGGUGGUGAGACAGGUCUGGCAGUAUUAGGUGGUAGUAGUCUGGGCAGAGUGGUGGUGAGACAGGUCUGGCAGUAUUAGAUGGUAGUAGUCUGGGCAGAGUGGUGG